rnacentral:rRNA from 1 species
AUUGAACGCUGGCGGCAUGCUUUACACAUGCAAGUCGAACGACAGCGCGGGCUUCGGCCUGGCGGCGAGUGGCGAACGGGUGAGUAAUUCAUCGGAACGUGCCCAGUAGUGGGGGAUAGCCCGGCGACAGCCGGAUUAAUACCGCAUACGACCUGAGGGUGAAAGCGGGGGACCGAAAGGCCUCGCUCUCUUUGAUCGGCCGAUGUCGGAUUAGCUAGUUGGUUGGGUAAAGGCUUACCAAGGCGACGAUCCGUAGCUGGUCUGAGAGGACGACCAGCCACACUGGGACUGAGACACGGCCCAGACUCCUACGGGAGGCAGCAGUGGGGAAUUUUGGACAAUGGGGGCAACCCUGAUCCAGCCAUGCCGCGUGCGGGAAGAAGGCCUUCGGGUUGUAAACCGCUUUUGUUAGGGAAGAAAUCCUCUGGGCUAAUACCCCGGGGGGAUGACGGUACCGGAAGAAUAAGCACCGGCUAACUACGUG